rnacentral:rRNA from 1 species
UACGAAGGGGGCUAGCGUUGCUCGGAAUCACUGGGCGUAAAGGGCGCGUAGGCGGUCUGGCAAGUCUUGUGUGAAAUCUUCGGGCUCAACCCGAAGUCUGCACAAGAAACUGCCGGGCUUGAGUAUGGGAGAGGUGAGUGGAAUUUCCGGUGUAGCGGUGAAAUGCGUAGAUAUCGGAAGGAACACCUGUGGCGAAAGCGGCUCACUGGACCAUAACUGACGCUGAGGCACGAAAGCUAGGGGAGCAAACAGG